CUACCACUGGGACUGUGGCCUGGCCUGCUCCAGGAUGGUGCUGCGGUACCUGGGCCAGCUGGACGACAGUGAGUUUGAGAGAGCCCUGCAGAAGCUGCAGCUGACCAGGAGCAUCUGGACCAUUGACCUGGCCUACCUGAUGCACCACUUUGGCGUGAGGCACCGCUUCUGUACCCAGACCCUGGGCGUCGACAAGGGCUACAAGAACCAGGUGAGCGACCAGCCACCAGGCCUUCCCAUGUGGGGCCACACAGAGGUAUAAGACCACCUGGUUCCAGUAGUUGGAAGAGGGAACAGUCAAGGGCUAGACACCCAGGUAGAUACCCAGGUGUGCAGAGACCAGGGA
rnacentral:sRNA from 1 species